GUGGUUGUGGCGCAGUAGCAGAGCACUUGCCUACUAAGCAUGUGUGAGGCACUGGGUUCAAGUCUCAGCACCACA
rfam:Ictidomys tridecemlineatus contig091017, whole genome shotgun sequence.